rnacentral:lncRNA from 1 species
AGCUCAUGGGGGAGGGAGAAAUCCUGACGGAGGGAGAAAUCCUGACGGAGCUCUCAAAUCCACAGUCCAUAGGAAUGAUUCUGCCAGAGCCAGCUCAAAACAUGCCAGUUUUCUGGCAAACAUUGUGUGAAGAAUACAUUUGCUACAGUGAAACCAUUUUUAGUUCAGGUACCCAGAAAUGGUGGAAUGAACAGAGACUAGAGCUAAGAGGGAGCUGGAAGCCAUCUCAAGAGGUCAUCUUAACUCAUCCUUCUACUCCAAAGCAGAAUCAGCUCAACCCAAAGCAUUCCUGACAGGUAUUUGUUUUAUCUGUUCUUCAAGAACUUCAGUGAUAAAGAUAGCA